rnacentral:rRNA from 1 species
CGAGUCUUAACUGGGCGAAUUAGUUGCAGGGUAUAGACCCGAAACCCGGUGAUCUAGCCAUGGGCAGGUUGAAGGUUGGGUAACACUAACUGGAGGACCGAACCGACUAAUGUUGAAAAAUUAGCGGAUGACUUGUGGCUGGGGGUGAAAGGCCAAUCAAACCGGGAGAUAGCUGGUUCUCCCCGAAAGCUAUUUAGGUAGCGCCUCGUGAAUUCAUCUCCGGGGGUAGAGCACUGUUUCGGCUAGGGGGUCAUCCCGACUUACCAACCCGAUGCAAACUGCGAAUACCGGAGAAUGUUAUCACGGGAGACACACGGCGGGUGCUAACGUUCGUCGUGAAGAGGGAAACAACCCAGACCGCCGGCUAAGGUCCCAAAGUCAUAAUUAAGUGGGAAACGAAGUGGGAAGGCUCAGACAGCCAGGAUGUUGGCUUAGAAGCAGCCAUCAUUUAAAGAAAGCGUAAUAGCUCACUGGUCGAGUCGGCCUGCGCGGAAGAUGUAACGGGGCUAAAUUAUGCACCGAAGCCGCGGCAGCGAUAUGUAAAUAUUGUUGGGUAGGGGAGCGUUCUGUAAGCCUGUGAAGGUGGCCUGUGAGGGCUGCUGGAGGUAUCAGAAGUGCGAAUGCUGACAUAAGUAACGAUAAUGCGGGUGAAAAACCCGCACGCCGGAAGACCAAGGGUUCCUGUCCAACGUUAAUCGGGGCAGGGUGAGUCGACCCCUAAGGCGAGGCUGAAAAGCGUAGUCGAUGGGCAACGGGUUAAUAUUCCCGUACUGGUGGUAACUGCGAAGGGGGGACGGAGAAAGCUAAAUCAUCCGGGCGACGGUUGUCCCGGUUUAAGCGUGCAGGUGGACUGACCAGGCAAAUCCGGUCGGUUGUUAACACUGAGGCGUGACGACGAGCCACUACGGUGGUGAAGUGAUUGAUGCUCUGCUUCCGGGAA